rnacentral:rRNA from 1 species
GUGUCAGCCGCCGCGGUAAUACGGAGGGGGCGAGCGUUAUUCGGAAUUAUUGGGCGUAAAGGGCGCGUAGGCGGCUUGGCAAGUCAAAGGUGAAAUCCCUCGGCUCAACUGAGGAACUGCCUUUGAAACUGCCUGGCUUGAGGCCGGGAGGGGGUAGCGGAAUUCCCAGUGUAGCGGUGAAAUGCGUAGAUAUUGGGAGGAACACCAGUGGCGAAGGCGGCUACCUGGACCGGUUCUGACGCUGAUGCGCGAAAGCGUGGGUAGCAAACAGGAUUAGAAACCCCAGUAGUCC